rnacentral:rRNA from 1 species
GUGCAGCAGGCGCGAAACUUUACAAUGUGCGAAAGCACGAUAAGGGAACUCUGAGUGCCUCCUAAGGAGGCUGUUCAGGUGUCUAAAAGCACCUGAAGGAAGGGCUGGGUAAGACCGGUGCCAGCCGCCGCGGUAACACCGGCAGCCCAAGUGGUAGCCACGUUUAUUGGGUCUAAAGCGUCCGUAGCCGGCUGGGUAAGUUCCUUGGGAAAUUUGGCUGCUUAACAGUCAAGCUUUCAGGGAAUACUGCCCGGCUUGGGACCGGGAGAGGUCAGAGGUACUCCGAGGGGUAGGGGUGAAAUCCAUUAAUCCUUGGGGGACCACCGGUAGCGAAGGCGUCUGACCAGACCGGGUCCGACGGUGAGGGACGAAGGCUAGGGGCGCGAACCGGAUUAGAUA